AUAUCGGCUCCAGCACUUCAUCUGCUGAGAUGUGCUGUUGGUUGAAGUCUAUGAAGAAAAUCCAGCCUUGGCUGCGUAUGUUACCAGCCUUGUCAGGUGCCUGCUCUGGCCUGCAGCCCUCGAAAGCCGCCGUGUGCCCAUCAGAGCAUGGGAGCAAAAGGUGCCCUCAUGCAAUGGGCUUCGAUCUCAUCAUCUGCCUGGAAGGAUCUCAGGCCCUCCACGAGUCCCCAGAGCAGGACUGGCAGCCGCUGCUCAGAGGCUGGACUCGAAUCCACAGGCCUUUUUCCCAGAGCGGCAUGGGGCGGCUGUACUGCAGCUACUCUGCAUCCCUGGACAAUCCUCGCUUUCUGGACAGCUUCCUCGGCUGAAAGGAGCACAGGCUCCAUGGCAAAGCUACUGGCUCUGGGUCUGAGGAGAGGAAGGAGGCGCCGGGUCUGGGGCAUGUUCCUGUGUAGGAAGCCAGGGUGCCGCUCCAGAGACUCGCUGAGGCACAGUCCCCAUCUCAGUCCAGCUCUGGCCGUGGCAGCGGCUUCCAGGCUCACCCAGUCUCACAGGAGGCCAAGGAGGCUGCGGAACAGCCCAGGGGCAGCAGGAGCUGUUCUCCCAGCCCGGCCCUCAUGCCGUCUCAGUGAGCUCUGCGACCUGGGGCCCCCACUUGGCGGUGGGCCCAGGCUGGGGGGUCUCCAGCUAGGAUGUAGGGCGGUGGUGGGCCCAGGCUGGGGGGUCUCCAGCUAGGAUGUGGGUGGUGGUGGGCCCAGGCUGUGUGGGGGGAGUCUCCAGCUAAGAUAUAGGGUGGUGGUGGGCCCUGGCCUGGGUGGGGGUUCUCCAGCUAGGAUGUGGGUGGUAGUAGGCCCAGGCCUCGGGGGCUUCAGCUAGGAUGUGGGUGGUGGUAGGCCCAGGCCUGGGGAUCUCCAGCUAGGAUGUAGGGUAGUGGUGGGCCCAGGCCUCGGGGGCUUCAGCUAGGAUGUAGGGCAGUGGUGGGCCUAGGCCUGGGGGUCUCUAGCUAGGAUGUGGGGUGGUGGUAGACCGAGGCCUUGGAGGUGCUCCAGGCAGGGCCACAGCUGAUUUGUCUGGGAAGGGAGGGGGCUUGUUUGGAGGGCUGGAGUAGACAGCAGCCAGGAGGAACUUCCUUUGGUAGUGGGAGGCCCCUCCAAAAGCACGCCUGCGAAGGCCCUAGGGCACCAGGGGACAUGGGAGCAUUCUUUGCUGUGCUCAGAGAGGGGGACAUGGGAGAACUGGGGCCAGGUGGGCUUAAUUUUCUGGAUCCUGUGGCCCCUUGGGUUGGAUCGGGCUGGGGUCUCAGGCAGAGCUGUUUCUGCACUGAGGCAGGGACUGCAGGCCAGUGACGGAGUGAUCUUGUGUGACUCCAUGCUCUCAGAGUCUUGCUGGAAACCCCCCUGGCUCUCAGACCCUCUUCUGUGAACCAGAAGUCUCUAUCCUGCCUUCUGCUGAGGGUCACAGGAUAAGUAUCCAUAGGUGUAACUCACACACCAGCACUUUGCAAGGUGUCCCCCCACCCACACAGAAGAGUUCCUCUGUGCCCGCAGGCAGGAGCAGCCCCCCACAUACACACACAGUACAUUCAUUCAUUCACUCACACAGUACUUUCAUUCAUCCACCCAUUCAAAUAGUACAUUCAUUCAUUCACUCACUCACACAGUACAUUCAUUCAUCCAUUCACACAGUACAUUCAUGCAAUCAUCCACACAGUACAUUGAUUCACACAGUACAUUCAUUCACUAAUUCACUCACACAGUACAUUCAUUCAAGCAUCCAUUCACACAGUACAUUCAUUCACUAAUUCACUCACACAGUACAUUCAUUCAAUCAUCCAUUCACACAGUACAUUCAUGCAAUCAUCCACACAGUACAUUGAUUCACACAGUACAUUC
rnacentral:lncRNA from 1 species